ensembl:lncRNA
GUAGGUGUUGGGAAAUUGAAGAGCACAGUUCUGGGGUCAGAUGAACUGGGUUUGGAGACUUUCCUUAAAUUUGUGACUAUUCCAUGUUCUCAUCUGCAAAUGAAAUAAAACUGCCUUGCGAAGCUGCUGUCCAGGUUAAAGGGAGUAACAUAAGCAAAGUCCCUGGUGUAUUAACCAACUGUUAUUAUUAUCCCCUUCUGCAGAUGGGCAAACUGAGACCGCAAGCCCUGGCGAUGUGCUCAGACAGAUGCGCAUGUCCCCCGCUCCAGCUUCCAGGCUCCCAGGCUUCAGUCUUUAGUCGGCCUUUGUUCUGCCACUUUCUCCUGGAAGUCACACCUCCCUCUCUUCCUGCCUGCCACAUCACAGGAGUCUGCACGCACCCAACCGGCUCAAGAGGCUCUGACAGAGCUGUGUUCAUAGGUGUGGAGACAAGAAAAGAGCUUUCUGACGAGUCAGAAGCUGGUCAUGGGAAGAAAAUGAGGGCAUCUCCUAGGUAAAGAAGUUUUUAUUUUCUCACAGGGUUUCUUCUCACUUUAAACUGGUUCUUUUGUGUUCUUACUUAGCCAGGAAUGUCUGGAAGUCAACACUCCAGCUGCUGAAAUCCAGAACUCAGAAAAGAUGCACAUAAAUAGACUUUGGUUGCAGCAUGAAAUAUUGGGUUAGACAUCAAGGGGGACUUCCUAGUCAAUGAGGUUGUGUAGGCAGAGGAAGAAAUGGAGGAAAAUCAUUACAUCUUCUACGCUGUGGGAAAGGUGGUUUUCUGGGAGGCACUCCAGUGCCUUUGGAUGAAACCUUGCGCCACGUUCCUGGAGGCCUGGGUGGUGGCAAUGAAAGGAUGAAGUCAAUGCAGCCCUGUUGGAAGGCUACUGGGGACAAUGCAGCACCGCUCUCCCAUUUUACAACUGCAGAAACUGAGGCGGGAUCCUGCAACAAAUAUUUACAGAAGGCCCGUGCAUGCCAGCCUUAUUCUGAGUUCUGAGGACACCGCAGUGAGGGAGGUAGAGUACUAGCAAACAAGGUCAUGAAUAUAGAAUGUGAUAUUGUGCGAUGAUGGGGCUGGACAAGGAAGUGAGGGGUAGGGAGGGAUGGAAACUGUUGAAGGAUAGUCAGGGAGGCCUCUUUGAGGCAGGGUCAUGUGAGAUGAAAUGACUCGCUAGGGUCAUUUAGACCCCAGAUACGAUUGAGUCUGCUUCCCUGGCUCCCAGUCCAGGGUUCCUCCAGGGUGUUUUUGGGCCCAAGUAACAGAAAACCCAACUCAAAAAGCCUUACGCCAAGAAAACUGUGUGUGUCUGAAAAAUCCGAGGGUAGAGCUUGUUUCAGGAAUGUCUUGAUCCAGGAUCUCAAAUCACAUUGCCAAGCCCUCCCCUCUCUUAUGUCUCUGCCUCUUCCACAGGGGUUCGAACUCCCAGGCUCCCUGUGGGAGCAGGCAGGUGACAGUGUUUCCAGGCCCACGGCUCCCAGGUUCAAGCUGGCAAGAAAGAGCUGCUCCAUCCCCAUCCAUUUGAACGGAAGUGCUGGGCCUGACUCCCUCAGCCGGGUGUGGGUAACAGACCCUCUUUCUGAACCAAUGGGAAUAGCUGGGGGAUGUUCUGCAUGGACUGGCCAGGCUGUGUCCCAGGCCCAUCCUGGAGCCCUGGGCUGGGGGAGGGAGGGAGCACCCCCAGGUGAGGUUUGAGCCUUGUUAGCAAAGGAGGAAGGAUGAUUCCGGCCGGCCCCAACCUAGCCAUGAAAAGUGCUGCCUGGCCCCCUCUCUCUACUGUGUCCAUAUCCGUCAUUUCCCCAGGCUUUACUGAGCGCCUGCUGUAUGCGUCCAUCUCUGUUUCCCAGAGCUUAGACUUCAAGGUAUAGGAAUUGUUUUGCUUUCAUUUUUUUUAAUCCUCCAAGAUCUUCCAGUCUACUUGAAGAAACAAAAGCCACAUCCUGUUUUUUAUCCUGUCU